GGUAGAGGAAUACCUAAUGAACUAGCUGCAGCAGGAUGCCCAGCACAGAUAUCGGAGGACCUGCCACCCAGUGCUUCUGUUGCUGCUGACAGAUAUGAGCAGGAGUUUGGAAGCUCUCUCAGCAGGGAGGCAGCCUUUGGUGUGGACCCCUUUCACACUGAGGAAGACAGGAGACGGGCAGAAAGGGACUUUGCGAUGGCCUACCCUGAUCCCUCUGUCAUUUUUGACAAUGUGGUCAACAAUGACCAUAGUGCACUUCAUGAAGCCCUUUUCUGCCUGCUGAAUGCCACGGAGAGGAAUGUGUGAAAUGUUUUGAUGGAUGUGUGACUGCCUGUGUAUACUGUUAAGUGUCACGUGUGAUCAACCGUACAUUUUCUUAAUGAUGCUGUUAAUAAUGUAUGUGUUUAUCUGCUGUUUUCACAAAGAAAAGACUUCAACAAAACCUGUUGCAAGGAAACCACUUGUGUCUGCGAAUGCUUUAAAAAAUAUUUUACAUUUGUCCAUCUAGAUGUGUAGCACUUUUAUAACCAAACAAAAUAGCAUGUACAAUUAAUGACAAUGGAACGAUUUUCAGAAAGAACUACAACUUAAUGGGCAAAUAACAAUUUAACAUAAAAUUUGAACACAUAAUAAUAGUAAUAACUAAUUUUUUUUCAUGAAGACCAUAGAAAAACGACAGUGUUACCCCUUAUGUUUCAUUUGAUGAAAACGACAGUUUUACCCCUUAUGUUUUUUCUCAUGACGACCAAUAAAAACAACAGUGUUACCCCUUAUG
ensembl:lncRNA